GAAAAAACAUGUAUAUGACCAGUUGUUGUAUUUAAAUUAUUUUUUGAGGGGCAUUCAUCUGUACGUGUACGGAACAGGUACGGAAUAAGACAAACGACAGACGCUGCAGGCUGGAGAGAAAAAAGUAUUCAACAGAGCUUCUGUUGCGCUGGAAGCAUCGGAAAAUACUCCCAACGGAAAACCGCACAGAAGAAACCUCAGAAAUUAAUUUUGUGACUGGCCGAUGAAUCCCUUUUUUUUUGUAAUUAACGGACGUCACGUCGAGUUUACCUGCCGUGGGGACCCGGGCUCACUUCGCAUUUAUCUGGCGGAAGCCAUUUUGAUUUGCCUUUUUCAUUGCACAAAGAAAGCUUUCGAUUGGCACGGAAUGUUUCGCUACAGAUGAAGCCGGGAGAAGAAGAGGGGGCGGGGCUGGGGAGCUCCACGCCCCUCCGUGGUCCGGGCGGGAGACCCCGUUCCUCCUCCGCAUCACUCGACCUCAUCCUCUUCUACGUCGGCGAAUGCAUUCUCCUAGAAGAAGAGACACGUUUACUGAGUGGAUGUGUCAUACGCAGAAUAUGUAUUCCAUCAACGAUAUGCUCUAUCUCAAACCCUCUCUGAGCAGCAGGGAGUAUUUGACAUGCUUUACACAGAUGAAAUUUCAUACGCAAUAACAAUAAUCUUGCCUCAACCUUGACGCUUACCGUUUUCUUAAGAGGAUGAGAGGGAUGAGAAAGCAAUUAAAUAUUAUCUGUUUAAUAAAAGAAACAGAACGAAA